GACGAACGCUGGCGGCGUGCCUAAUACAUGCAAGUCGAACGCUGAAGCAGGAGCUUGCUUCUCUGGACGAGUGGCGAACGGGUGAGUAACGCGUAGGUAACCUGCCUGGUAGCGGGGGAUAACUAUUGGAAACGAUAGCUAAUACCGCAUAGGAGUAGAUGUUGCAUGACAUUGGCUUAAAAGUUGCAAUUGCAUCACUACCAGAUGGACCUGCGUUGUAUUAGCUAGUUGGUGGGGUAACGGCUCACCAAGGCGACUAUACAUAGACGACCUGAGAGGGGGAUAGGCCACACUGGGAGUGAGACACGGCCCAGGCUCCUACGGGAGGGAGCAGUAGGGAAUCUUAGGCAAUGGAGGGAAGUCUGACCGAGCAAGGCCGCGUGAGUGAAGAAGGUGUUCGGAUCGUAAAGCUCUGUUGUGAGAGAAGAACGGGUGUGGGAGUGGAAAGUUCACGCUGGGACGGUAUGUGACAAGAAGGACAGGGCUAACUAGGU
rnacentral:rRNA from 1 species